rnacentral:rRNA from 1 species
GAUGAACGCUGGCGGCGUGCCUAAUACAUGCAAGUCGAGCGAACAGACGAGGAGCUUGCUCCUCUGACGUUAGCGGCGGACGGGUGAGUAACACGUGGAUAACCUACCUAUAAGACUGGGAUAACUUCGGGAAACCGGAGCUAAUACCGGAUAAUAUAUUGAACCGCAUGGUUCAAUAGUGAAAGACGGUUUUGCUGUCACUUAUAGAUGGAUCCGCGCCGCAUUAGCUAGUUGGUAAGGUAACGGCUUACCAAGGCAACGAUGCGUAGCCGACCUGAGAGGGUGAUCGGCGACGCUGGAACUGAGACACGGUCCAGACUCCUACGGGAGGCAGCAGUAGGGAAUGGUGCGCAAUGGGCGGAAGCGUGACGGAGCGGCGCCGCGUGAGGGAUGAAGGUCGUCGGAUCGGAAAACUCUGUUAUUAGGGAAGAACAAAUGUGUAAGUAACUAUGCACGUCUUGACGGUACCUAAUCAGAAAGCCACGGCUAACUACGUG